rnacentral:rRNA from 1 species
UACGGGAGGCAGCCGUGGGGAAUAUUGCACAAUGGGCGCAAGCCUGAUGCAGCCAUGCCGCGUGUAUGAAGAAGGCCUUCGGGUUGUAAAGUACUUUCAGUCGUGAGGAAGGUGUUAAGGUUAAUAACCUUAGCAAUUGACGUUAGCGACAGAAGAAGCACCGGCUAACUCCGUGCCAGCAGCCGCGGUAAUACGGAGGGUGCGAGCGUUAAUCGGAAUUACUGGGCGUAAAGGGCACGCAGGCGGUUAAUUAAGUUGGAUGUGAAAUCCCCGGGCUUAACCUGGGAAUGGCAUUCAAGACUGGUUAGCUAGAGUCUUGUAGAGGGGGUUAGAAGUUCCAUGUGUAGCGGUGAAAUGCGUAGAGAUGUGGAGGAAUACCGGUGGCGAAGGCGGCCCCUGGACAAAGACUGACGCUCAUGUGCGAAAGCGUGGGGAGCGAAACAGGGAUUAGAUACCCGU